ACAAAUAUGCAAUACUGGUAGUUAAUGGUAUUGUGCUUUGUAAGUUGCUAACAGCGUUAACAACUACGCUUUUGGGUAACGGGCCCCUGACCGCACAUACACCAUUCGGUUCUGGAUCGUGAGAGCACACGAUAACGGUGUUCCCCACAUUUCUUUCCGAGUUCCCGCUCAGCCGGCGAUAAACAGUUCCGCAUUUCCACAUGCAACGUGGCUGAGGAGGGGGACGUAGAGUUAGACCUGGACGUGGAGGAAAACUGCACUGGAAAACCAGUGGGAAAACCCCGAAAACAUGACAGUGGGGCUGCCAAUUUGGAGCGAGUCACAGACUAUGCAUAAGAAAAAGAAAUAUCCAGCUCCGAUCUACAAACGGCCAUGUCAGUGAUCGGUGACAGACGAUCGAGAGAACAGAAAUCAAAACAGGACCGCCUCAGUCAUGAUGAAUCAGGCGUAGGAGGUCGCUGCCAGAUACCCCAACACUACCACCGUGAUGCUGGAUGUCACGAGCCAGCAGAGCCUCCUUGAGUCUCUGGUCAAGGACCAUGAUGUUGUUAUCAGGUACUGGAGGUACCUUGAGACUGAAUACAUAGGCUUCGGAAGUCGCAUGUAUGAAGAUGUUGGAGAUGAUGGGUCUUCUGUAGUCUGCUUCCUUACCAGCAUCACACCAUGAUUGCUGAACAUUGCAUGAGGAAGAAGGUGAAUCUGAUGACUGCCAGCUAUGUUUGUCCUGCCUUGAGAGAGCUUCAGAGUCAGUAGGAUGAAUGAAAUUUCCAUAAAAAUAAAAAUGCAUAAAUGUUGUUUUUUGCAUGAAGGAGUGUAAUUGGCUUUAAAAUCUAUGCAUUAUGAUUGGGUACUUAUCACCAUGUGACCAUGCUGCAGUCCCCUUGUCGUUCCACCUGUCUUUUUGCAGUGCAGAAGAGGCUGGCAUCACCGUGGUGUGUGAGAUGGGGUUGGACCCGGGCAUUGACCACAUGCUGGCCAUGGAGUGCAUCAACCAGGCCAAGGAGGAAGGGUGCACUGUGCGUGAUGUCUCUGGUCCUAACAACUAUUGGUGUCCCUGAAUGUUUUUUAUAUGAGCAAAGCUUCAUGCAGAGUUGGCUUCAGCUGUCUGGCGCAUUGCCAACAUGGUUGAGUAAUACAGAGAUGUACAAACCAGAGAGAUCGAUGCCUUGUGUGUUCCUCCAUUUCUGCAAAGUGUCCUUCAUGCCCUAGUAAAACCUAAUAUGUGUGCUAGUUGUAUGCUGUUGCCUCUGACUUUGACAUGCUUGGAGACGACCCCAUCCCUUGAAGCUGUCACGAAGCAUUUGGAAGCCAAGCUCCAUUUUGGUAAGGGUGGGAGGGGGUUGUCGCUCAGCGUUUGCAUGCUACUUUGUGUGCUAGUGCUUUAAGAGUUGGAUUUAAGGCGUGUCCAUGUUGCGCGCCCAGGAUAGGAGCAAAGUACCAGAGGUCUGAAAUAUGGAGACGUGUCAUUUAUUUUUGUGUGUGAUGCCUUGCAAACGAUGACCCUCAGAGAUCACUGACCGAACUGACACUGUGCAAUAUGUAAAACGUUUUAGAAUCUGUAAUGCCUGGUCUUCAGAGGAGGUAUUUGUGUUAAGUCUCAGAUUAAUUUGAAAAUGUUAAUAAAUGGAAUGUGUAUA